CAGCAGUAGCCACGGGAAUACGAAGGGUGCAAGCGUUACUCGGAAUUACUGGGCGUAAAGCGUGCGUAGGUGGUGGUUUAAGUCCGUUGUGAAAGCCCUGGGCUCAACCUGGGAAUUGCAGUGGAUACUGGGUCACUAGAGUGUGGUAGAGGAUAGUGGAAUUUCCGGUGUAGCAGUGAAAUGCGUAGAGAUCGGAAGGAACAUCUGUGGCGAAGGCGACUAUCUGGGCCAACACUGACACUGAGGCACGAAAGCGUGGGGAGCAAACAGGAUUAGAUACCCGAGUAGUCCCUGUCUCUUAUAC
rnacentral:rRNA from 1 species